CCCUUAGAUGUUCUGGGCCGCACGCGCGCUACACUGAUCGGUGCAACAAGCAUCCGUCCUUGGCCGACAGGCCCGGGCAAUCUUUGAACGCCGGUCGUGAUGGGGAUAGACCUUUGCAAUUUUUGGUCUUCAACGAGGAAUUCCUAGUAAACGCAAGUCAUCAACUUGCAUUGAUUACGUCCCUGCCCUUUGUACACACCGCCCGUCGCACCUACCGAUUGGAUGGUCCGGUGAAGCCUCGGGAUUGUGACUGUUGCCUUUAUUGGUGUCGGUUGCGAGAACUUGUCUAAACCUUAUCAUCUAGAGGAAGGUGAAGUCGUAACA
rnacentral:rRNA from 1 species